UCUGGUUGAUCCUGCCAGUAGUCAUAUGCUUGUCUCAAAGAUUAAGCCAUGCAUGUCUGAGUACAGACCGAUCUAAGGUGAAACCGCGAAUGGCUCAUUAAAUCAGUCAUAAUUUCUUGGAUAGUGAAAAACUUUCCUCGGAUAACUGUGGAAAAUCCAGAGCUAAUACGUGCAACUGAGCUCCGACCUAGGCGCGAGCCUUGGGAAGAGCGCAUUUAUUAGAUUCAAAACUGACCGGUGUACUCCUUCGGGAUACGUCGUUUGUCAAAUGUUUGAUGACUCCGGAUAACUUAGCCGAGCGCUACGGUCUUUAGUACCGGCGCCGUAUCUUUCAAGUGUCUGCCUUAUCAGCUUUCGAUUGUAGGUUAAACGCCUACAAUGGCUGUAACGGGUAACGGGGAAUCAGGGUUCGAUUCCGGAGAGGGAGCCUGAGAAACGGCUACCACAUCUAAGGAAGGCAGCAGGCACGCAAAUUACCCACUCCCAGCCCGGGGAGGUAGUGACGAAAAAUAACGAUGCGAGACUCUUCCGAGGCCUCGCAAUCGGAAUGAGUCCAUUUUAAAUCCUUGGACGAGGAUCCAUUGGAGGGCAAGUCUGGUGCCAGCAGCCGCGGUAAUUCCAGCUCCAAUAGCGUAUAUUAAAGUUGCUGCGGUUAAAAGCUCGUAGUUGGACUUCCUAGAUCCAUUUCGUGGGCGAGUCGCUCGUUGCACUAGCGUCUUGCGCGGUUCCUCGAUAAAGUUUCGCGAAGGGGGUCGCUCGUGCGAUUCUCUCUCUCUCUCUUCCCGCGUUCGGUUCUGUUUCGGUUUCACGAUCGUUAAUGGGAUCGUCGCGAGAGAGUGUGGGGGGGGUUUUCAAUCGGCUUCUUCCCCGCGUUACAGAAUCUUGCGGACGGCGAGACGUUGGCUUCGGGUAUAGCUCGUUCGCGUUUGGUACAAUUAAAAUUUUGUCGGCUCGCUCGGAGUGCUCUUUACCGAGUGUUCCAGGGUGGCCGACACGUUCACUUUGAAAAAAUUAGAGUGCUUAAAGCGGGCUUAUUUACGGCCUGAAUGUCUGUGCAUGGAAUGAAGAAACAGGACCUCGAUUCUGUUCUUUUUGUCGGUUUUAAUGAACCGAGGUAAUGAUUAAAAGGGACAGACGGUGGCAUUAGUAUUGCGGCGCUAGAGGUGAAAUUCUUGGACCGUCGCAAGACUAACUACUGCGAAAGCAUUUGCCGAGAAUGUUUUCAUUAAUCAAGAACGAAAGUUAGAGGAUCGAAGGCGAUCAGAUACCGCCCUAGUUCUAACCCUAAACUAUGCUAACUAGCGAUCCGCCGGAGUCAUUCCCACGACUCGGCGGGAAGCCCCAGGGAAACCAAAGUCUUUGAGUUCCGGGGGAAGUAUGGUUGCAAAGCUGAAACUUAAAGGAAUUGACGGAAGGGCACCACCAGGAGUGGAGCCUGCGGCUUAAUUUGACUCAACACGGGAAACCUCACCAGGCCCGGACAUCAUAAGGAUUGACAGAUUGAGAGCUCUUUCUCGAUUUGAUGGGUGGUGGUGCAUGGCCGUUCUUAGUUGGUGGAGUGAUCUGUCUGGUUGAUUCCGAUAACGAACGAGACUCUACCCUACUAACUAGUCGGCGGAUCGUAACCCUGAGAUGGUUAGUUUGUAUAGGGGAGUUUUUGCCUAGAUAAUGUUCUAUCGCGGACGGCGGAUUUGCGAGCGUGAGUCGGGCCCGUGUCUUUUCUUUAGGGAUUAGUGCGAGUUCGGUUAGCGUGAGCGUUCGUUUUUUCGCGGUAAUCGACUUUGUCGAAGCGGCUCUCUGAUUACUACUACUGCUGGGGGCGUCCGUCGCAAUGUAUCUUCUUAGAGGGAUCAGCGGCGUCUAGCCGCACGAGAAAGAGCAAUAACAGGUCUGUGAUGCCCUUAGAUGUUCUGGGCCGCACGCGCGCUACAAUGUAGGGCUCAGCGUGCUUUCCCUCUCCGAAAGGAGCGGGUAACCCGUUGAAACCCCUACCCGAUUGGGAUUGGGGAUUGCAAAUAUUUCCCAUAAACGAGGAAUUCCCAGUAAGCGCGAAUCAUUAAUUCGCGCUGAUUACGUCCCUGCCCUUUGUACACACCGCCCGUCGCUACUACCGAUUGAAUGAUUCAGUGAGGGCAUCGGACUGGCGCCUUCGGUUUAGUAACAUAGACCUUAGGCUGACGGAAAGAUGUCCGAACUUGAUCAUUUAGAGGAAGUAAAAGUCGUAACAAGGUUUCCGUAGGUGAACCUGGGGAAAAGG
rnacentral:rRNA from 1 species